rnacentral:sRNA from 1 species
GCAACCGCGGUCGUAAUCGCCGGCACCUGAGAAAGGUCCGAUCACG